GCUGGGUGUUUCAGCAUACAUCUGUAAUCCCAGCGACUUGGGAGGCUGAGGCAGGAGGAUCACAAGUUUGAGGCCAGCCUCAGCAACUUAGUAAGACCCUGUCUCAA
rnacentral:sRNA from 1 species